AUACGGAGGGUGCAAGCGUUAAUCGGAAUUACUGGGCGUAAAGCGCGCGUAGGUGGUUUGAUAAGCGAGAUGUGAAAGCCCCGGGCUUAACCUGGGAACGGCAUUUCGAACUGUCAGGCUAGAGUAUGGUAGAGGGUAGUGGAAUUUCCUGUGUAGCGGUGAAAUGCGUAGAUAUAGGAAGGAACACCAGUGGCGAAGGCGGCUACCUGGACCAAUACUGACACUGAGGUGCGAAAGCGUGGGGAGCAAACAGGAUUAGAUACCCUGGUAGUCCACGCCGUAAACGAUGUCUACUAGCCGUUGGGACUCUUGAAGUCUUAGUGGCGCAGCUAACGCACUAAGUAGACCGCCUGGGGAGUACGGCCGCAAGGUUAAAACUCAAAUGAAUUGACGGGGGCCCGCACAAGCGGUGGAGCAUGUGGUUUAAUUCGACGCAACGCGAAGAACCUUACCUGGCCUUGACAUGCAGAGAACUUUCCAGAGAUGGAUUGGUGCCUUCGGGAACUCUGACACAGGUGCUGCAUGGCCGUCGUCAGCUCGUGUCGUGAGAUGUUGGGUUAAGUCCCGUAACGAGCGCAACCCCUAUCCCUAGUUGCUAGCAGUUCGGCUGAGAACUCUAGGGAGACUGCCGGUGACAAACCGGAGGAAGGUGGGGAUGACGUCAGGUCAUCAUGGCCCUUACGGCCAGGGCUACACACGUGCUACAAUGGUGCGCACAGAGGGCUGCAAACCCGCGAGGGGGAGCCAAUCUCACAAAACGCAUCGUAGUCCGGAUCGCAGUCUGCAACUCGACUGCGUGAAGUCGGAAUCGCUAGUAAUCGUGAAUCAGAAUGUCACGGUGAAUACGUUCCCGGGCCUUGUACACACCGCCCGUCACACCAUGGGAGUGGAUUGCACCAGAAGUGGUUAGUCUAACCUUCGGGAGGACGAUCACCACGGUGUGGUUCAUGACUGGGGUGAAGUCGUAACAAGGUAGCCGUAGGGGAACCUGCGGCUGG
rnacentral:rRNA from 1 species